AUGAAGAAGCAUCCAAAGCUUGAAGAAUUCACAGAUGUGCUGGGCGGUGACGAUGGUAGGAGGUUUGAUUUCGAAGAUCCACGCGUUCAAUGCAUAUAUCAAGCAAGGUCAAGGUUUGGGCAUCCUUUAUUCUUCAAGUUUAUGCUCAUGGCAGCUUGGAACAUUUGGAUAUUAAGGAAUAGAAGAACUGUCAGGGGAGAGCGUGCUUCUUUUGCUACCUGGAAAUGUAAAUUUGUACAUGAUAUUCAUCUUCUAGCGCAUAGGCCUAGAGAUAGCAUCAAACAACAGGUAUUAGCUUGGGUCAACACCCUCAUGUAA
rnacentral:rRNA from 1 species